rnacentral:rRNA from 1 species
AACGAACGCUGGCGGCAUGCCUAACACAUGCAAGUCGAACGAAAACUCCGGGUCUAGUGGCGCACGUGUGCGUAACACGGGGGAAGCAGCCCUUAGGUUCCGUAUAAUUGCCCGUGGGGUAUCUUAAUAACACUUGAGCUAUUCCGGCCUAGGAUCUAUCGCCUUGGGAUGGGCGCGCGUUGGAUUAGCUAGUUGGUAGGGUAAAAGCAUGCCAAGGGCUCGUUGCAUAGCUGGUCUGUGAAGAGGAUCAGUCACACUAGGAAUGAGACACGGCCCAGAAUCCGACGGGAGGGAGCAGUGGGGAACAUAAGACAAGGGGCGAAAGUCUGAUAAAGCCAUGUCGGGGGAGUGAUGAAGGCCUUAGUGUUGUAAAGCUCUUUUAGCCGGGAUGAGAAUGACAGUACCGGGAGAAUAAGCUCCGGCUAACUACGUG